rnacentral:rRNA from 1 species
GAUUUAUUGAUCGUCUUAUUUUUGUUUUGGUUGAGUUUAGUGUGGGGAGUAGGCUCGGUAAAAUAUUAUUCUGUUGUUGUAUUCUUUUGAUUUAAUUUUUUUGUGAUAGGUUACUUGUACUGUAGGGGGUUGAUUUUGCUGUUUUUUGGGAAGCUGGCUUGUUUUGUUGUACCUUGUGUAUCAGGGUUCAUUGAAUUUUAUUAUUUAUUUUUAUUUCCCGAUUUUAAAGGAGUUAGUGGUUUAUUUUAGUUGUUGUUUCAUCAAUAUUGGAAAUAGGUUGCUGGUAAUGAAAUGUUAUUCGUCUUUGGUGGUUUCUGGUUUUUCAAGAAAUGAAUUUAAUUCACGCGUCUUGUCUGGAUUUUUACUGUUUUAUAUUUUUCUUUACUUGACGUGAAAAUUAAGGGGGAUUAGCUCUUUAUUCUAUUUUUAUAAUUUUUGUGUUGAUUUAGUUUUGUGGAUUUUAUGGUGAUUUUCAAUGUGAUUAUGUUAAAAUUUUAUUUGUUUCUUUUGUUAUUUUAUCUUUAUUUAAUUAUUUAUUGGAAUGUUUUCUUUAUUUAUUUGCUGGAUUGUAAUUAUUGUGGAAUUAGUAAAUUUGUUUGUUGUGUUGUCUGUAUUUGUGUUUAAUUUCUUUUGAGGAAUUAGGCAAAUUUUGUGUCCGCCUGUUUAACAAAAACAUCUUUUCUUGUUAGUUUUUGAAGUAUGGCCUGCCCGCUGACUUGGGUGUUGAAGGGCCGCGGUAUUUUGACCGUGCAAAGGUAGCAUAAUCAUUAGUUCUUUAAUUGUGAUCUGGAAUGAAUGGCUUGACGAGGCACGAGCUGUCUUGGAUGUGAAUAUUUUAUUGAAUUUGGUCUUUGAGUUAAAAUUCUUAGAUGUUUUUAUGGGACGAGAAGACCCUAUAGAGUUUGACAUGUUGGUUUAUUUAUGUUGGUUGUUUGUUUUUAUUUUAUGGGUAAGUAGGUCUAUUUGUUUUGUUGGGGUGAUGAGAGGGAUGAUUUAACCCCUCUUGUUUUUGGUUAUAUUGAUUUAUAGUUGUUUGAUCCAUUUAUUUUGAUUAUAAGACUAAAUUACCUUAGGGAUAACAGCGUUAUCUCCCUUGAGAGUUCUUAUCGGCAGGGGGGUUUGCGACCUCGAUGUUGGAUUAAGGUGAAUUUUUGGUGUAGGAGCUGAGAGUUUUAAUUGGGUCUGUUCGACCUUUAGAAUCUUACAUGAUCUGAGUUCAAACCGGCGUGAGCCAGGUUGGUUUCUAUCUAUAAGUAUUUUUUGUACCUUAGUACGAGAGGACCAGGUACUUGGAAUAAUUUUGUUGUUGUUGAGUUUUAUUAACUGUGAUGACUAUUUUGGCAGAUAAGUGCAUUGGAUUUAGAAUCUAUU